rnacentral:lncRNA from 1 species
GUGAAAUUAGCUUCAGCAGCCUUUUCAAGUCACUCUGGAUUUACACCAGUGUUACAAAGAGAUGAAGCUUGCCCUGAAGACAGUGACAGAAGGAAACACUUGAUUUCAGCUGUUCCUAGACUACACACAGCUGUGGCUUUUGCAGUGUUCUUCUCUACGUCAGUCCUUCCUUCCCAGCAUACUGAUAACCCAUCUGAGAUAACUAAACAGAAGAACUUUCAAACUACUGACAUGAUCAUGGUUCUGGGGGCAGGAUUUUGUGCAAAGACUGAGUCUGAUCUGAUGCCAGUGAAGAACAGCAGGAACUACAGAAUAAUCAAUGAACUUUCACUAGGGUUUUGGCAGCAGAGUGUGAUUGCCAUCAAAUUUUUGACUUAAUAGCUUUGGAAGUAAUUAUAUCAUGCUCUGUACUGGACUACAAGCUGGGCAUGUUGACCUCAUCUAUAACUGUAGCGGAUAGUUUUCCAUAACUCCUCAUCCAAAUAAUGUAAUAUAUUACUUACUCAAAACUAAAUAAAAUGAAAUAAUUAGUUUAAAAGAGCCA